rnacentral:piRNA from 1 species
UGCAAAGUGCACCCUCCUGCUGGACUGUGC